GCUCGUAGUCCGAACUCGGGUUCGUGGUCGCUCGCGCGGCCCCGGGGCGGCGGCGCCAUCGUCCGUCGUUGACUUUGGUCGUCCGUUCGCAUUCCCGGCCCUUUCCGCCGGUGUCGACUGCCAUGUACAUCCGCCUCGCGGUCCUGCCGGCGGGAAUCUUUUGCGCGGUCGUCCGGGUUGGGGGUNGGCGUUUAUUUCGGGGGCGGUUCNGGNGGCGUCGCGNUNGGUCUCCNNCCGNCAGNUUNNUCUCNUNNUCNCCUUCUUNNCNCCUCUCUCCUCGCCUCACGUCGCCGUGCAAAGCUCUCGUCGUGCGCGCGUGUUUGCGGUCGGGCGGUUUCUCCUCCAAGGGUGCUCUUAACCGAGUGUCCGCGGCGGCCGGUACGUUCACUUUGAAAAAAUUAGAGUGCUCAGAGCGGGCUGUUCAAGCUUGCAUACGAUAAGCAUGGAAUGAUGGAAGAGGGCCUCGUCUACGUCUGUCGGUCUCCGUCUACGGCGAGGCAAUGAUCGAAGGGAGCGGUCGGGGCCACUCGUAUUGCGACGUUAGAGGUGAAAUUCUUGGAUCGUCGCAAGACGAACUGCAGCGAUGGCGUGUGGCAAGCACGUUUUCCUCGAUCAAGAGCGAAAGUCGGAGGUUCGAAGACGAUCAGAUACCGUCGUAGUUCCGACCGUAAACGAUGCCGACCGGCGAUCCGCCGGCGUUCGCUUCCAUGACCCGGCGGGUAGCCUGCGGGAAACCAGAGUUCGGUUCCGGGGGGAGUAUGGUUGCAAAGCUGAAACUUAAAGGAAUUGACGGAAGGNNNNNNCANCNGNGNNNGGAGCCUGCGGCUUAAUUUGACUCAACACGGGAAAACUCACNCCGGUCCGGACACCGGUAGGAUUGACAGAUCGAUAGCUCUUUCUCGAUUCGGUGGGUGGUGGUGCAUGGCCGUUCUUAGUUGGUGGAGCGAUCCGUCUGGUUGAUUCCGAUAACGAACGAGACUCCGGCCUGCUAACUAGUGCGCCGAUGUGUGUGCGUUUUUCGCUACGGCGGGCUCGGGCCGUGCGUGUUCGGUCGCGCGUUUGUCUCGUGCGUUUCUUUCUCGCGUUUUCGUUUUUUCGUUCGGUGGGUUUUGGGGGGCGGCAGGCGUGUCGGGAGGGCCUCGGUCUUUUCUUCGCGUCGGUCGUUUCUCUUCCGCCGGGCGGGGGAGCGGGGUGCGGGUUGGGGGCGUCGAUGGCGGCGAGCGGUCGUGCGUGCGGUUUCCGCCGGGUCCGGGUCGGUUUUCUCACGCACUUCUUAGAGGGACGGGUGGCAGAAAGCCACACGAGGCGGAGCGAUAACAGGUCUGUGAUGCCCUUAGAUGUCCGGGGCCGCACGCGCGCUACACUGGAGGUAUCAGCGGGGACUUCGCCCCGGCCCGAGAGGGCUGGGAAACCUCUCAACCACCUCCCGUGAUAGGGAUCGGGGCCUGUAACCAACCCCGUGAACGAGGAAUUCCCGGUAGGCGCGGGUCAACAGCCCGCGUCGAUCACGUCCCUGCCCUUUGUACACACCGCCCGUCGCUACUACCGAUCGAACGGUCCGGUGAGGUCCUCGGAUCUGGCCGACGACGCCGCCGGGCUGCCUGGUGUCCUUUCGGGGUCGCUUGUGUCGCCUCGGCGUUCGACGCCUGGAGAAGACGACCGAACCCGAUCGUUAGAGGAA
rnacentral:rRNA from 1 species